rnacentral:lncRNA from 1 species
UAAAAGUGGGCCACUUUUGUCGAUUUUGCAGAUUCGGACCGGAUUUUCAUACCCUUAUUAUUUUUUCUCUUUCCUCUUUCUCUCUUCUUUUUUUUGUCGUUCAUUUUUUUUUUCUCUCGCUGAAGAGGUAGCAGAGGCAGAGGCGGAAGCGGAAACGGUCCGCCUCGCCUCUCACCCUCAUGCUCUCGCCCUCGCCCGCGCACCCCCCACCUUCGUAGCCUCCGACUCCGUCGAGGCCGCGUCGCGACUUUUUUUUUUUCUCUUUCUGACUCUCCUCCACCGUUUCCGAUGACGACGCCUCUCUCGCCCUUCUCAUCCUGUUCCUCUCCCUCCUCCUCUGCCGCCUUCGACGACGACGCAUCUUCGUCGACGCCGACACCGUGGAGGUCGCUGCGGCGCUGCAGCCUCGGAGCGGGGGGUCCUUAGCAGCGUCGUCGCCGGAGGGGUGACAAAAAAAAAUUAUAGAAGAAGUAAGAAAGAAAAAUAAAGAUAAAAAAUUAUAGAAAAAGAAAGAUGAAGAUGAAAUUGCACCGUUAAAAUAAAAUUGCACUGUUUUAAAAAAAUGUUGCACUAUAAUGGAUAUAAGUUGUACUACUUAAGAUUUAAACUGUAGCUUUAAGAUGAAAAUUACACUCUUUAAACAAAAAUUACACACUUUGGAAGAUAUUUAUACUGUUUCUCCUUUAUUGCACACUUUCAGAUGUAAAUUACAUCUAUUAAGAUGAAAGUUAUACACUUUAAACGUAAGUUGCACUCUUUGAGAGAUAUUUAUACUGUUUCUCCACUGCCUCUGCUGCUUUCUUCAGCGAGAGAAAAAAAAAUGAACGAGAGAAAAAAAGAGGAGAGAGAAAAAAGAGAGAGAAAAAGUAAUAAGAGUAUUUUGGUCAGUUUGCUGAAAAUUCGGAUCGAAUCUGCAAAAUCAAAAAAGGCGGCACAAUUUUGCAAAAGCUCAACAUUUAUGAAUUUUUUAUGCAAA